rnacentral:rRNA from 1 species
CCUACGGGGGGCAGCAGUGGGGAAUAUUGGACAAUGGGGGCAACCCUGAUCCAGCCAUGCCGCGUGUGUGAAGAAGGCCCUCGGGUUGUAAAGCACUUUCAGUGAGGAAGAACGCCUGGUGGUUAAUACCCAUCGGGAAAGACAUCACUCACAGAAGAAGCACCGGCUAACUCCGUGCCAGCAGCCGCGGUAAUACGGAGGGUGCGAGCGUUAAUCGGAAUUACUGGGCGUAAAGCGCGCGUAGGUGGCUUGAUAAGCCGGUUGUGAAAGCCCCGGGCUCAACCUGGGAACGGCAUCCGGAACUGUCAAGCUAGAGUGCAGGAGAGGAAGGUAGAAUUCCCGGUGUAGCGGUGAAAUGCGUAGAGAUCGGGAGGAAUACCAGUGGCGAAGGCGGCCUUCUGGACUGACACUGACACUGAGGUGCGAAAGCGUGGGUAGCAAACAGGAUUAGAUACCCUUGUAGUC